AGUGAACGCUGGCGGUAGGCCUAACACAUGCAAGUCGAACGGCAACACAGUAAGAGCUUGCUCUUACGGGUGGCCAGUGGCGUACGGAUGAGGAAUACAUCGGAAUCUACUUUUUCGUGGAGCAUAACGUAGCUAAACUUACGCUAAUACAGCAUACGACCUUCGUGUGUAAGCAGUGGAUCUUCGUAGCUUGCGCGAAUGAAUGAGCCGAUGUCGGAUUAGCUAGUUGGCGGGGUAAAGGCCCACCAAGGGGACGAUCCGGAGCUGGUCUGAGAGGAGGAUAGCCCAAACGGGAACGGGGACAGGGUCAGGACUCCUACGGGAGGCAGCAGAGGGGAAUAUUGGACAAUGGGGGCAAGCCUUAUACAGCCCGACCGCGUGGGUGAAGAAGGCCUUCGGUUUGUAAAGCCCUUUUUUUGGGAAAGAAAAGCAGCAGGUUAAUACCCCGCUGUUCUGACGGUACCCAAAGAAUAAGCACCGGCUAACUUCGUG
rnacentral:rRNA from 1 species